rnacentral:rRNA from 1 species
GACGAACGCUGGCGGCGUGCUUAACACAUGCAAGUCGAACGGAAAGGCCCCUUUGGGGGUCCUCGAGUGGCGCACGGGUGAGUAACACGUGAGUAACCUGCCCUUGACUUCGGGAUAACUUCAGGAAACUGGGGCUAAUACCGGAUAGGAAUCCUUGCUGCAUGGUGGGGGUUGGAAAGCUUCGGCGGUUUUGGAUGGACUCGCGGCUUAUCAGCUUGUUGGUGGGGUAGUGGCUUACCAAGGCUUUGACGGGUAGCCGGCCUGAGAGGGCGACCGGCCACAUUGGGACUGAGAUACGGCCCAGACGCCUACGGGAGGCAGCAGUGGGGAAUAUUGCACAAUGGGCGGAAGCCUGAUGCAGCAACGCCGCGUGCGGGAGGACGGACUUCGGGUUGUAAACCGCUUUCAGCAGGGGCGAAGCUUGUGGUGACGGUACCUGCAGAAGAAGCACCGGCUAACUACGUG